ensembl:lncRNA
AUGGGUCAUCUUCUUCCCAAAAGGCGACUGAGAGCCGGAGGAAUUAAUGAAGUCCUCUGCAGCUGGCUCGAAAAUGCAGCUGCGUGGUUCCAUCCUGUGCCCCUAGGCUGCAGCCAGAGGCUGCCAGGCCCCUUCCCUGCUCGUCCCCUCCCCCUGCCCCCGCCCCCCGAGCAGAGGGGUCAACGUGUCACCUCCGUUCCUUUCCAACCCCACGAUGCAGUUACAACACGCUUCUGCCUCCUAUUUAACAGCAGGAAAGCCUCAGAGAAGCACUUCUUGCAACAUGCCCUGAGAUGCUGGAGGAGGAUGCUCCCCUUCACUUCAGUCUGGGAGUCAGGAGCAGGCUGGAUGCUCAGGUCCUUGCAAGGGGAUGUUAAGAAAGCUUUGCUGACUUCCCCUAUGCUGAGACCUUGCUCCUAUGGUUGGAAAGGAUUACAAUAUCAUGGAAUGGCUUGCGUUGGAUGGGACCUUAAAGCCCAUUCAGCCCCUGCCAUGGGCUGCUUGCCCCCCUGGAGAUCAGGCUGCCCAGGACCCCAUCCAUGGCCAUGGACACCUCCAGGAAUGGGGCACGCACUCUUCUCUGGGCAACACAGAUUAAACUUGGAGUGGCUGAACCAAUGAUAGAACGGCUGGACACUUAUCUCAUUCUUGGAUCUGGAGAUGGCUGGGUCACCACAUCCAGUUGGGUUGAGAGGGAAAGGAGCAGGCAAUUGGGGACAGCCAUGGUGUACGGAAGAGCUCUUGUGGUGAGGCUGGUGGACAGUUUCAUGGGCUCAGGUAGCUGCUCUAUUAAAAGAGGGGAAACCAGACAUCAGACGUGGUCAGCCUUCGAGGCAGACACCCAAACAAACCAGCGUGCUGCCGUGUUUCCAUGGCCCCAAAAUAUCAGCUGGGCUCUCCAGGCUGCCCAGUUCGGAAGUGCUGUCCGUCCCUGCAGCGUGGCUUUGAGGAGUGCUCUCAGUCUGCAGUUUGUGGUUUAUUUACUCUCUGGGUGCUACCGGUGAGCUGGGAAAAUAUCCCAGGGCUGGCUGAGCAGCGUAGUAGGAAAGAGAAGGAUGUGUGGGCUCUGUAUGUUUUUAUGGAUCCCUGGUUAUGGGAAUGGCUCAGCCUCAGGAGUUAAUGCAAGUGGUGAAGCCGAAGAUUUGCAUUAGUGAAGGGCAUCUAUCAAUCACUAAUUUCUAUCAGGACAGUGAAAACAGAAGGGAAGAAUCUGAACACAGCCUCUUUCUGUGCAUGUCAGAGAGGUGGUGAUGCAUUGGAGACUUGUCCUGUGCCUUCCAUGGACAUCAUAGAAUGGUUUGAGUUGGAAGGGACCUUCAAAGGCCAUCUAGUGCAACUCUCCUGCAGUGAAGAUGGACACUCACAGCUUGGUCAGGUGUCCAUACAUCCUCCCUUGUGGAUCCCAAAGCAUAUGAUGACCAUGAACUCAUCUAGCGAUACGCACUGGUCCCAUUUUCUGUGCCCCAGUAUUCUCAGAGUUAUGUCUCUUUUUCCUUCUGUCCAUCCUUCCCCUCAAAGGCGUGUUAAAAUGGGGCAUUAGUGUCGCUGCAGAAGAUGGGAAACCCCAA